AGCCUCUUCUUUCCUCUGCGAACGCGCUGAGCAGCGAUUGAAAACGUUUUGGUCCUCUGCAGGUUUGAACAGGGCUAGCAGGUCUCUCUCCGGAUUUCUAGGGCUAUGGGUAUAUGUAAUUCUUUCUCUCAUCGAUCGUUUCGAUUCUCUUGCCGGUCUUGCAGUUUGCAGGGUCCUAAACGAAGAGGGGUGGAGAUUCGAGAGUGCGGGUCUGGCGUGUGGUCCAAGGGAGGGGGUGAGGCUGGGAAAGGGGGUGCAGAAUGCGGGAACGGCUGGGACUGCACAGAAGGACCAUCUGCGGACUCGUUUUCACUGCUCCAGCUCCCGAAAUCGUUUCUCUGGACGCGGCAGUAUCCGCAGCGCAUGCACCCUCCUCUGGACUUCCGCAGCCCAGACCUGCGCUUACAGUCAUCGCGCCACCCCCUCCCCCCGGGCUGCGGGCCCCGCGCUCCGUGGGCUCAGGGUCCCCUCCGCGUCCCCCUGAAGCCUGGGGACGGAGGUCGCGACCGGCCGACUGGGGUCCUGUCCUCUUGUCACCUUGUAUCCCUCGCAUGCUCCCUCCCGCCUCGUGUCCCUCUCCCCACCCUCCCCCUCCUCUCUCCCGCCUCCCUAACACUGCGCUUUGAUUCUGUUUUUCAGGGGCGCAUUCUGGGGUCUCUGCGCAAGACCAGCUCUCAGCUCUCUCUCCUUUCCUCGGACUCUGGAGCGGGAGCGGGCCUUUCCCUCGGGUCGACCACGCCGUAGGGGACGCCGUGAAAAGAGCCGUCGCGCCCGCUGCCUCCUGCCCGCUGCGCAGAGGGCUCCGCCCGUAGAGGUCAACUUCCCUCACCCUUUUCUCUCUCCUGCUUGCCCUCCCUCCGCCCGGCCCAGGCGCUUCCAGCCCCAGACUGUGGCCACUGGCUGAGGAGUGCGAGUCGGCUGCGCUGCCCUGAGCCUAAUCCCUCUUCCGGGCCCAGACCCGAGGUCCGCGCUCCUGGGCAGUGGGGAAGCUUUAGUGAGCAGGCUUUUCUCUCCGCAGCAAACUUGUAGCCAGACCAGAUGGGCCGCCCAGCUCUCUCGGGACUAGGCAGUAUUCAUCCAAUUGCGCUGAUCUCCUGCAUCCACAUCUUGCGUAAUCCACAAAGCAGCUAUGGUCCAGGGCUGCAAAAUCGUCCUGCCUGAUUCCUUUAGAAUUCAUACUACCUCAGAGGAGCAAACCUAAUCCCCUCAGCCUAAUCCUACCUGUUUAGGAUCAUCUAAACUUGUCCUUCAGAAAGCUUGAUCAGUUUAAAAUUGCUUUCUAAAUAGAAAUGAAAUACGUGAUAUGAGAGAGGUUAAAAUACUGCUUAAAAAGGGAAACACUCAAUUUAGUAAUUCGGUUGCCUAGAUGAAAUCGAGUGGCUAUUGAUCCGUGAUGUUUCUAGAUUUUUAAGACUAUGUACUUCCUAUUUCUUUGGAAAAUAAUCAUCCAGUUUGAUGCCCAUUACAAAUUUUCCUGCUAUGAAAGAAAUUCUAUGCGCGGCAGUUUUGCAAUAAAACAACCCGGGCUUCGCAAUGGGAGAACUUCGGUGCGGCGUGCCGUGAGAGUCCUUUGACAAUCUCAGCUUUCAUCUAGGUCUGAAAUUAAAGCUUCUCGGAAUAAUUUAGGAACAGCUUGACCCGUUGAGAUACUCAAGGACAACCCUCCAGGGAAAUAGUAUGUUUCCUUCCUGGGAACAAGAUGCUAGCGCGGUGCACCGGGAGGUAUCUGGUGUCAACAAUGCCAGAGCGCCCUCUGCUGCCUCAAAGAGGCAGGACACCAGUUACAAAAGCCAGAUGGCACAGUGGCAAUAAGCGGAGGAAACAUUAAGCUCUUAGAAACGUUUAAUCUGUGAAAUUUAAAAGCUCUCAUCAUAUUCUACUUUUGAAAGGGCCACCUGAUUUUGAUUUUGAGCACUCCUUGGAUGUUAUCUUCUAUUCUGGAGGAUAAUGAAAAGUCCGUGUUUUGAAGUUUUCAGAUUAUUUCUGUAGUUAUAUUUCUCCACUCUUUCUCGAAUUUUAUAUGGAAAUACGAAAUUGCAAAUCUAAGUGAAAAACCUUUGUGUAAAACAGGUGAGUGGAGAAGACGUCCUGGUUUCUCCAAAUAACUAAGAUCUAAUAAAGAAACAAAUCUUAAUUAAAAUAAAGAUACCGAGCACAUGUUGUUGUGUUAGUUUAAAACGAUAAUAAAAAGAAAGAAAUUAAGUCUCGAUGUAAAUCAUUGUUUUGUUGUUUUGUUUCAGUGAUUAACCCAAAUUUUGACCAGACUUGAAGUUUUGAAAUAAGAAAGUGAAUUAUUUUAAAGAAGAAGAAAAAUUUGCUUCUUAUUAAUAUGUACAAUAUUUUUGCCCUUAAAACCUUUGCAAUACAUUUAUACACACACACUCAGCUUGCAAAGCCUUCUUUAGAAAAUAACCCACUCUGAGUAGAAGUAAUGAGAUAUGGUAGCAGCAUGGGCAAAGCCAUAAGAAACGUUAUUUGCAUUAAAAAUGAGUUUUUCAGUAUGGAAAAUCAAUUACCAAAUGAAAUAGAGAUUUUUUUUAAAGGUUCAAACCUUUUCAAAUUUUUAUGUUAUAGGGUUUAUAUUGAUUAAAAUAAAUGUACGUUUGUAGUUAUUCAACAUUAUGAAUUUCAAGAUGGCCACCUAUUUUGAAACGCACACCUUUGCCAUGAAGUCUGUUGUUGCAUAUAUUAGUGCUGAUGUAAUAAAAUGCUUCUAUUAACUAUGUGGUUGUUAAUAAAUCUUGUAAAAAUAAA
rnacentral:lncRNA from 1 species